AUGAAGAUUUUAAUGGCAUCAUAUAUACAAGGCCAUGUUGUAAAUGAAAGUCUUUAUUGUUCAUUUUCAAUCAGGCAGAUGUUUUGUUGUCCUGAAGAUUUCAAGGGCAUUUAUGAUACCAGUCAGAUAGAACAGGCAGCCUGAUGGAUGCACAUGGGAUAGAAGAGCAAACAGCUAUUAAUUGACUGCUGCUCUGCACAGCUUUUGGGAUCCUAGCUUCCUGACAAGGGAUCAAACCUGUGACUGCUGCAGUGGAAGCUCAGCGCUAACCAUUGGACCCCAGGAAAUUCUCCAGCUUUCUAUUUUAAUAAAUGUUUAUAAAUCAUUCUGAAGUAUGCUCA
rnacentral:lncRNA from 1 species